rnacentral:rRNA from 1 species
UACGGAGGGGACUAGCGUUGUUCGGAAUUACUGGGCGUAAAGCGCACGUAGGCGGAUUUGUAAGUCAGGGGUGAAAUCCCGGGCUCAACCUCGGAACUGCCUUUGAUACUGCAAAUCUCGAGUCCGGAAGAGGUGAGUGGAAUUCCUAGUGUAGAGGUGAAAUUCGUAGAUAUUAGGAAGAACACCAGUGGCGAAGGCGGCUCACUGGUCCGGUACUGACGCUGAGGUGGCGAAAGCGUGGGGAG